rnacentral:rRNA from 1 species
UGAGGAAUAUUGGACAAUGGGGGAAACCCUGAUCCAGCCAUGCCGCGUGAGUGAUGAAGGCCCUAGGGUUGUAAAGCUCUUUCACUAGCGAAGAUAAUGACGGUAACUAGAGAAGAAGCCCCGGCUAACUUCGUGCCAGCAGCCGCGGUAAUACGAAGGGGGCUAGCGUUGUUCGGAAUCACUGGGCGUAAAGCGCGCGUAGGCGGAUUGGUAAGUCAGAGGUGAAAGCCCGGGGCCCAACCCCGGAACUGCCUUUGAAACUACCAGUCUAGAGACUCGGAGGGGACAGUGGAAUUCCUAAUGUAGGGGUGAAAUCCGUAGAGAUUAGGAGGAACACCAGCGGCGAAGGCGGCUGUCUGGACGAGUACUGACGCUGAGGUGCGAAAGCGUGGGGAGCAAACAGGAUUAGAUACCCCCGUAGUCC